GCCUGGGUGGCUCAGUUGGUUGAGUGUCUGACUUUGGCUCAGGUCAUGAUCUCACGGCUUGUGGGUCGGAGCCCCAUAUCGGGCU
rnacentral:tRNA from 1 species